rnacentral:rRNA from 1 species
UGCGAAGGGAGCUAGCGUUAUUCGGAAUUAUUGGGCGUGAAGCGUGCGUAGGCGGUUUUAUAAGUCAGAAGUGAAAGCCUGGGGCUCAACCUCAGAACUGCUUUUGAUACUGAAGAUCUUGAGUUCGGGAGAGGUGAGUGGAACUGCGAGUGUAGAGGUGAAAUUCGUAGAUAUUCGCAAGAACACCAGUGGCGAAGGCGGCUCACUGGCCCGAUACUGACGCUGAGGCACGAAAGCGUGGGGAGCAAACAGG